GACGAACGCUGGCGGCGUGCUUAAUACAUGCAAGUCGAACGGAAAGGCCCUGCUUUUUUUGGGUGCUCGUGUGGCCAACGCGUUAUUAACACGUUAGUAACCUGCCCUUUACUUUGGGAUUACUUCAGGAAACUGUCGCUAAUACCGGAUAGGAGCUCCUCCUGCAUGUUGGGGGUUGGAAAGUUUCGGCGGUUGGGGAUGGACUCGCGGCUUAUCAGCUUGUUGGUGGGGUAGUGGCUUACCAAGGCUUUGACGGGUAGCAGGCCUGAGAGGGUGACCGGCGACAUUGGGACUGAGAUACGGCCCAGACUGCUAGGGGAGGCAGAAGUGGGGAAUAUGGCAAAAUGGGGGGAAGCCUGAUGCAGGAACGCCGGGUGCGGGAUGACGGGCUUCGGGUUGUAAACCGCUUUCGAAUGUGACGAAGAGUGAGUGACGGUAAUGGGUAAAGAAGCACCGGCUAACUACGUG
rnacentral:rRNA from 1 species